rnacentral:rRNA from 1 species
UCGAACGCUGAAGCCUGGUGCUUGCACCGGGUGGAUGAGUGGCGAACGGGUGAGUAACACGUGAGUAACCUGCCCCUGACUUCGGGAUAAGCCCGGGAAACUGGGUCUAAUACCGGAUACGACCGCCGGACGCAUGUCUGGUGGUGGAAAGUUUUUUCGGUUGGGGAUGGGCUCGCGGCCUAUCAGUUUGUUGGUGAGGUAAUGGCUCACCAAGACGACGACGGGUAGCCGGCCUGAGAGGGCGACCGGCCACACUGGGACUGAGACACGGCCCAGACUCCUACGGGAGGCAGCAGUGGGGAAUAUUGCACAAUGGGGGAAACCCUGAUGCAGCGACGCAGCGUGCGGGAUGACGGCCUUCGGGUUGUAAACCGCUUUCAGCAGGGAAGAAGCGCAAGUGACGGUACCUGCAGAAGAAGUACCGGCUAACUACGUGCCAGCAGCCGCGGUAAUACGUAGGGUACGAGCGUUGUCCGGAAUUAUUGGGCGUAAAGAGCUCGUAGGUGGUUGGUCACGUCUGCUGUGGAAACGCAACGCUUAACGUUGCGCGUGCAGUGGGUACGGGCUGACUAGAGUGCAGUAGGGGAGUCUGGAAUUCCUGGUGUAGCGGUGAAAUGCGCAGAUAUCAGGAGGAACACCGGUGGCGAAGGCGGGACUCUGGGCUGUAACUGACACUGAGGAGCGAAAGCAUGGGGAGCGAACAGGAUUAGAUACCCUGGUAGUCCAUGCCGUAAACGUUGGGCACUAGGUGUGGGGGGCAUUCCACGUUCUCCGCGCCGUAGCUAACGCAUUAAGUGCCCCGCCUGGGGGAGUACGGUCGCAAGGCUAAAACUCAGA